rnacentral:snRNA from 1 species
GCAUGCAUGCAUUGAGCUAAAUGCUAACACUGGCAAAGAUUAGCAUGGCCCCUUCGAAAAGAUGACACGCAAAUUUGUGAAGCGUUCAACAUUUUC